CACUAUGCCUAGCCGUAAACAUUGAUAGUAACCUACACCCACUAUCCGCCCGGGAACUACGAGCAUCAGCUUAAAACCCAAAGGACUUGGCGGUGCUUUAGAUCCACCUAGAGGAGCCUGUUCUAGAACCGAUUACCCCCGUUCAACCUCACCUUUCCUUGUCCCUCCCGCCUAUAUACCACCGUCGUCAGCUUACCCUGUGAAGGACUUAUAGUAAGCAAGAUUGGCACAGCCCAAAACGUCAGGUCGAGGUGUAGCGUAUGGAAAGGGAAGAAAUGGGCUACAUUCCCUAACACAGGGAACUACGAAUGAUACGCUGAAACACGUAUCUGAAGGAGGAUUUAGCAGUAAGCAGAAAAAAGAGCGUUCCGCUGAAACCGGCCCUGAAGCGCGCACACACCGCCCGUCACUCUCCCCGAGCUCAUAACCUUGAAUACUUAAAGCCUUAAUACUGCAAAGGGGAGGCAAGUCGUAA
rnacentral:rRNA from 1 species